rnacentral:tRNA from 1 species
GCCAAUGUGGCUCAGCUGGUAGAGCAGCUCACUCGUAAUGAGCAGGUCACCGGUUCGAAUCCGGUCAUUGGCU